rnacentral:rRNA from 1 species
AACGAACGCUGGCGGCAUACCUCACACAUGCAAGUCGAACGAAGGCUUCGGCCUUAGUGGCGCACGGGUGCGUAACGCGUGGGAAUCUGCCCUUGGGUUCGGGAUAACAGUGAGAAAUUACUGCUAAUACCGGAUGAUGACUUCGGUCCAAAGAUUUAUUGCCCAGGGAUGAGCCCGCGUUGGAUUAGCUAGUUGGUGGGGUAAAGGCCUACCAAGGCGACGAUCCAUGGCUGGGCUGAGAGGAUGAACAGCCACACUGGGACUGAGACACGGCCCAGAAUCCUACGGGAGGCAGCAGUGGGGAAUAUUGGACAAUGGGCGAAAGCCUGAGUAAGCAAUGCCGCGUGAGUGAUGAAGGCCUGAGGGUUGUAAAGCUCUUUGACCCGGGAAGAUAAUGACUGUACCGGGAGAAUAAGCUCCGGCUAACUCCGUGCCAGCAGCCGCGGUAAUAC